GACGAACGCUGGCGGCGUGCCUAAUACAUGCAAGUAGGACGAGUUGCGAACGGGUGAGUAACGCGUAGGUACUACCUAUUAGAGGGGGAUAACUAUUGGAAACGAUAGCUAAUACCGCAUACUAGUAGAUGAACUGGGUUGUAUUAGCUAGUAGGUUGGGUAAAGGCCUACCUAGGCGACGAUCCCUAGCUGGUCGGAUAGGAUGACCAGCCAAACGGGAACUGAGACACGGUCCAGACUCCUACGGGAGGCAUCAGUGGGGAAUAUUGCACAAUGGGCGAAAGCCGGAUGCAGCCAUGCCGCGUGUGUGAAGAAGGCCUUCGGGUUGUAAAGCACUUUCAGCGAGGAGGCGUUACUCGCAGAAGAAGCACCGGCUAACUCCGUGCCAGCAGCCGCGGUAAUAC
rnacentral:rRNA from 1 species